GUAGAGGGCGCCUGAAACCAAAGUUAGUUCUAUCCUAAUAUUUAACUUUUAGAUGAAAUAUUUUCAAAUAUACUCUAAAACUGUAAAAUUUGCAAACACACGUGCAAAAGUCCGUUUUUAAAAAAUAUCGUAUUUUAUAUUGUAUAGUGGAGCGAGAAAUGUAUUUGUUUUACAAUGAUGUUUAUUUUUUUUCCCUGUCGACAACUUUUCUACCAGCGGUUUUGCUUCGAUUGAUACAAUGAUAGCACUUUUUCUAAAAAGAAAUCUGACUGGAGUAGUACUUUAGGGAGGGCAUUGUUUUAUUUUCCCAAGAGUUUUCCAAAAAACCCGGGAAAACCUAAGAAAAACAGAAAAAUUGGUACAAUAUAUGGGAAAGAAAUCAUAUGUAAUUAUUUUACCAUAAUAUGACAUAUAUAUAUUGCUGACAAAGUAACACUAUCAACCAAACUCCGCUCAGAAUCGUUUUUUCGUUAACAAUGCUUAAUUGUUGCGUAGGUACAGAUAUACAUUGAAUUUUCCCUCUACUACCUACCCAACUUCACGCCUACAACAGUUACCCAUCCACAUGAGAAAUAUGUCCGUUUUUUUUUAAAUUUCAUAUACUUAUGACAACUGCUAGCUAGGAUGUGCAAACAUGUGCAUAAACGACGACGUGGACGAUGUAGGAGACGUCAUUUAAUGUAAAAAUUUAUAUGAGCAAGGUGGCUGACCCCACAAAUAUACACAGUUGAGAAUAUAAACGAAGAAAAAGAAUAAAAUAACCGAGUUUAUUCAUUAAUCAAAUUGUACUCCGGAAGAGCAAUUCCGAGGACAAAUAUCACGAUAAAUAGAACGAAAAAAAAGUCAUACUUUGUACUACCUGUAAAUAUAUAUAUGUAUACAUACAUAUCUAUUGAAUAGAUUUCGUACAAUAACGU